GGGGAAUUGUUCGCAAUGGGCGCAAGCCUGACGACGCAACGCCGCGUGGAGGAUGAAGAUCUUCGGGUCGUAAACUCCUGUUGAGUGGGAAGAAUAGUUUCCGGGCGAAUAUCCCGGGCGCCUGACGGUACCACUAAAGGAAGCCCCGGCUAACUCCGUGCCAGCAGCCGCGGUAAUACGGGGGGGCAAGCGUUGUUCGGAAUCACUGGGCGUAAAGCGCGUGUAGGCGGAUUGUUAAGUCGGGGGUGAAAUCCUGAGGCUCAACCUCAGAACUGCCUUCGAUACUGGCGAUCUUGAGUCCGGGAGAGGUGAGUGGAACUCCUAGUGUAGAGGUGAAAUUCGUAGAUAUUAGGAAGAACACCAGUGGCGAAGGCGGCUCACUGGCCCGGUACUGACGCUGAAACGCGAAAGCGUGGGGAGCAAA
rnacentral:rRNA from 1 species